UAGGGAAUCUUCGGCAAUGGGGGGAACCCUGACCGAGCAACGCCGCGUGAGUGAAGAAGGUUUUCGGAUCGUAAAGCUCUGUUGUUAAGGAAGAACGAGUGUGAGAAUGGAAAGUUCAUGCUGUGACGGUACUUAACCAGAAAGGGACGGCUAACUACGUGCCAGCAGCCGCGGUAAUACGUAGGUCCCGAGCGUUGUCCGGAUUUAUUGGGCGUAAAGCGAGCGCAGGCGGUUAGAAAAGUCUGAAGUGAAAGGCAGUGGCUCAACCAUUGUAGGCUUUGUGAACUGUUUAACUUGAGUGCAUAACGGGAGAGUCGAAUUCCAUGUGUAGCCGUGAAAUGCGUAGUUAUAUGGGGGAACACCGAUGGCGAAAGCAGCUCUCUGGUCUGUAACUGACGCUGAGGCUCGAAAGCGUAGGGAGCGAACAGG
rnacentral:rRNA from 1 species